GGUAAGGUGGCUGAGGUUUAGGCAAUAAACUGUAAAUUUAUGAACGAAAUAUUGAAUUUCUCUUACCA
rnacentral:tRNA from 1 species